GCUUUUGUAGUUCAUCUGUAGCACACUCGACUUGUAUUCGAGAGGUCCAGGUUCGAGUCCAGGAGAGAGCA
rnacentral:tRNA from 1 species